rnacentral:rRNA from 1 species
GGCAAACGGGUGCGGAACACGUACGCAAUCUACCCAUAACUGAUGAAUAGCCCACCGAAAGGUGGAUUAAUACAUCGUAACAUAUUGAGAAGGCAUCUUCUUAAUAUUAUAGCUCCGGCGGUUAUGGAUGAGCGUGCGGCUGAUUAGGUAGUUGGCGGGGUAACGGCCCACCAAGCCUACGAUCAGUAACUGGUGUGAGAGCACGACCAGUCACACGGGCACUGAGACACGGGCCCGACUCCUACGGGAGGCAGCAGUAAGGAAUAUUGGUCAAUGGACGCAAGUCUGAACCAGCCAUGCCGCGUGAAGGAUGAAGGUCCUCUGGAUUGUAAACUUCUUUUGUGUGGGAAGAAAUCCCUGAAUUCUUUCGAGGUUGACGGUACCACAAGAAUAAGCACCGGCUAACUCCGUGCCAGCAGCCGCGGUAAUACGGAGGGUGCAAGCGUUAUCCGGAUUCACUGGGUUUAAAGGGUGCGUAGGUGGGUCUGUAAGUCCGUGGUGAAAUCUCCAAGCUUAACUUGGAAACUGCCGUGGAUACUAUAGGUCUUGAAUACCGUGGAGGUGAGCGGAAUAUGUCAUGUAGCGGUGAAAUGCUUAGAUAUGACAUAGAACACCAAUUGCGAAGGCAGCUCACUACACGACUAUUGACACUGAGGCACGAAAGCGUGGGGAUCAAACAGGAUUAGAUACCCUGGUAGUCC